ACACGCCUCUGGGCGUGAAGAAUGCGCGGAUAUCUCAACAUUACAAGUCCAGCCUGUCAGCCACCUUCACUCUCUUCCCAGGGGCAAAGUAUCUCGUACUGCUAGAGGAAGACUUGGAUAUAGCUCCAGACUUCUUCAGCUAUUUCAACCAGACUGCUCACUUGUUAGAGGAAGAUCCGUCGCUUUACUGCAUCUCCGCCUGGAAUGACCACG